rnacentral:rRNA from 1 species
GACGAACGCUGGCGGCGUGCCUAAUACAUGCAAGUCGAACGCUGAAGGAGGAGCUUGCUCUUCUGGAUGAGUUGCGAACGGGUGAGUAACGCGUAGGUAACCUGCCUGGUAGCGGGGGAUAACUAUUGGAAACGAUAGCUAAUACCGCAUAACAGUAGAUGUUGCAUGACAUUUGCUUAAAAGGUGCAAUUGCAUCACUACCAGAUGGACCUGCGUUGUAUUAGCUAGUUGGUGGGGUAACGGCUCACCAAGGCGACGAUACAUAGCCGACCUGAGAGGGUGAUCUGCCACACUGGGACUGAGACACGGCCCAGACUCCUGCGGGAGGCAGCAGUAGGGAAUCUUCGGCGAUGGACGGAAGUCUGACCGAGCAACGCCGCGUGAGUGAAGAAGGUUUUCGGAUCGUAAAGCUCUGUUGUAAGAGAAGAACGAGUGUGAGAGUGGAAAGUUCACACUGUGACGGUAUCUUACCAGAAAGGGACGGCUAACUACGUG